GACGAACGCUGGCGGCGUGCUUAACACAUGCAAGUCGAACGGAAAGGCCCUGCUUGCCGGGUACUCGAGUGGCGAACGGGUGAGUAACACGUGGGUGAUCUGCCCUGCACUUCGGGAUAAGCUUGGGAAACUGGGUCUAAUACCGGAUAGGAACCAUCUUUAGUGUGGUGGUUGGAAAGUUUUUUCGGUGUAGGAUGAGCUCGCGGCCUAUCAGCUUGUUGGUGGGGUAAUGGCCUACCAAGGCGGCGACGGGUAGCCGGCCUGAGAGGGUGUACGGCCACAUUGGGACUGAGAUACGGCCCAGACUCCGACGGGAGGCAGCAGUGGGGAAUAUUGCACAAUGGGCGCAAGCCUGAUGCAGCGACGCCGCGUGGGGGAUGAAGGCCUUCGGGUUGUAAACUCCUUUCGCUAGGGACGAAGCUUUUUGUGACGGUACCUAGAUAAGAAGCACCGGCUAACUACGUG
rnacentral:rRNA from 1 species